AUUCGGGAUAUGGCUCCCUGGCCAGCUUGUGAAGUUCAAGGGGCUCGUUACUUCUUACAGCUCACAGUCCCUCCCGGGUCCAGCACACCUGAGGGCUGACCUCCCUCUUGAUUAGUGCAGGGGAAAAGCACUUUAAAAAGCUGUGUCAUGCGUAACUUGCACAUCUUCUGAUUCUGACCUGAAACUGCAUCCCAGGUCGGCACAGACGCAACCCAGUCUCCUCCCACCUCCGAGAGUGCAGUGUCCUGAAUGGAGAACCCCAGCACCCAGAAGCAUCCACUGAAGGACUAAAUUCUACACAUGAAGGCAAACGUCCGUGGUUGACAGAAAUUACACUGGCCAGAAUCCCCAGUCCCCAUGAGGCUUGUCCAGACGCAGUGAACCAGUCGCAGCUGAUAACACACAGACCAUUCCCGAUCCCAGAGGUGCAUUUCAGGAUUCAUUCUAUUUCAUCAGGUGACGUUUUAACAGAAACAAAACCGCAGGCAGCGGGUGGGGGGAGCUGGAGGUUGGAAUCACACCAACAUUAUAGCAUUAUUACUCUAAAAAAAAUUACUUUUUUGGCUGGGUGCUGUGGCUCACACCUAUAAUUGGGGGGCCAAGGCAGGUGGAUUACCUGAGGUCGGGAAUUCGAGACCAGCCUGACCAACAUGGAGAAACCCCGUCUCUACUAAAAAUACAAAAUUAGCUGGGCGUGGUGGCACAUGUCUGUAAUCCCAGCUACUCGGGAGGCUGAGGCAGGAGAAUCGCUUGAACCCAGGAGGUGGAGGUUGUGCCAUUGCACUCCAGCCUGGGCAACAAGAGCAAAACUCCGUCUCAAAAAAAAAAAUUUUUUUUUAAGCGACACAGUCUUGCACUGUGGCCGAGGCUGGAGUGCAGUGGCUCAAUCACGGCUCACUGUAACCUUGGACUCAGCUCAAGCAGUCCUCCUGCUUCAGCCUCCCGAGUAGUUGGGACUACAGGUGCGUGCCACCACACUUGGCUAAUUUUUAUGUUUUUUUGGUAGAGACGGGGUCUUCCUGUGUUGCCCAGGCUGGUCUCGAACUCCUGGGCUGAAGCAAUCUUCCUGCCUUGGCCUCCCAGAGGGUUGGAAUUGCAGAUGUGAGGUAAUGUCCAGUUCCUUGCCUUAUUUAUAAAAUGUAAUUUAUUUUUUGAACUUUUUCCUCUUCAGAGCCUUCCAUUCGCCUUCCUGUGUAGCCAGGCUGUUAAAAAGCUGCUUUACUUUCCGCUUUCUUUCCGCAUCCCUAAAAGAAACAAAAGGCAAAUGCCCAUUUUUGGAUUAGUUCUUGGAGAGCAUCUUGCCCUCUCUCUCCCACAUCAGAACCACAUUAGCCACCGUGGCCACGUUCAGUUCAAACAGGGGGAAGUGAACCU
rnacentral:lncRNA from 1 species